rnacentral:rRNA from 1 species
GUGGGGAAUCUUCCGCAAUGGACGAAAGUCUGACGGAGCAACGCCGCGUGAGUGAAGAAGGUUUUCGGAUCGUAAAGCUCUUUCGUUAGGGACGAACGUGCUCUUUGUGAAUAAUGAGGAGUAAUGACGGUACCUAAAUAAGAAGCCACGGCUAACUACGUGCCAGCAGCCGCGGUAAUACGUAGGUGGCAAGCGUUGUCCGGAAUUAUUUGGCGUAAAGCGCGCGCAGGCGGGAUAUCAAGUCUGUCUUAAAAGUGCGAGGCUCAACCUCGUGAGGGGACAGAAACUGGUAUUCUUGAGUGUCGGAGAGGAAAGUGGAAUUCCAAGUGUAGCGGUGAAAUGCGUAGAGAUUUGGAAGAACACCAGUGGCGAAGGCGACUUUCUGGACGAUGUCUGACGCUGAGGCGCGAAAGCUAGGGGAGCGAACGGGAUUAGAAACCCGGGUAGUCC